rnacentral:tRNA from 1 species
AAGAUACUAGUAAAAUACAUUACACUGCUUUGUCAAGGCAGAAUUGUGAGUUAAACCCCCACGUAUCUU